CCGCACUGGGCCUCGCGGAAACGCAGCUACGAAAUGAAGGGAGCCCAGUCCGAUCUUGCGGAUUGAUUGGGGCACGACGGCACCCGUGACAUAUUUCCAUCCCGGCGGCGACGGCUGGGCGAGCGGCGGCGCCCUUCGCCAGUUCUUCGUUGGACCCUUCUCUGGCGACGAGCAUCCACCAGAUUUUUGGCUCGUUAAUCACCAUGUCUCAUCAAAAGCGUGAAGGCAGCUCCACCGACGAUGAUUGUGCAUCCAAGCGCCUGAAAGGCACCGACACUGCUUCUGAAAUGAGGGGCAGUGUAGAAGCUAGUGUUUCACAAGAAACGGGUUCUGAAGUAACGAGAACCUGCCAAAAGGAAAGCGAGGUGCCAUCGGAGAAAUGUGUUUCGGAUGGGAAAGCCGCUGCGAACUCUAAAAAUUCAGGCGAGCAAAACAUGGUACUAACUGCACUUGAGGCAGAUGCUGCGGAAGACAAGGGUUGCAGGCACACUAUGGAGGACACCUGGGUGCUGCUCCCCAGUGCUGGUGCGGAAUCUCCAGGAAGUUUGAGGUGCGCACAUUUUGCGAUUUAUGAUGGGCAUGGUGGUCGUUUGGCAGCGGAUUUUGCACAGAAGCAUUUGCAUCAGAAUGUCAUCGCUGCAGGAUUACCACAUGGAUGUUAAAGCUGCAAAGAAGGCCAUAAUUGAAGGUUUCCGUCGAACUGAUGAAUCCUUACUACAAGAAAGUACUAAAGGAAAUUGGCAAGAUGGUGCAACAGCUGUAUGUGUUUGGAUCUUGGGACAGAUGGUUGUAGUUGCAAAUGCUGGAGAUGCUAAAGCAGUAUUGGCUCGUUCCACUUCAACUGAUGGUGAAGGUGUGGUUGAUGACACCAAAAGCCAGCUAAAGGCUAUUGUUUUAACAAGAGAACAUAAAGCCAUCUUUCCACAGGAGCGCUCCCGGAUCCAGAAGGUAAUAUGUGUUAUGUAUAAUAUUCUUUUUUUAAACACUUCUUGCCAACUUAACUUCUGUUUCAUAAGGAACUUCCAUAUACAGCUUCUGUUUUACGUACUAGGUCUAAGGUCGCCAACGUAAUUAUGCUGUAUCCAUUUUAUGUUAUCAUAUCAUAUAUAUCUAAUUUGACUAUAGUAAGUUUUAUGAACUGAGUCUGGAACCCUUAGUCUUAUUGUGUUUAUAAUCUUUAUUGAUUUUCAAAAGAUUGUUACAUGACUAAUGAGAUUAACAUUUAUAGGUCCAUCCUAUGCAUAUUCUAUCUGUCAGUUUUAGUGCUAGGACUUAUGUAGUACAUGCGUCGUAAAGAGUUGCCCCUUCAUUAUCUUUCUAUGUCCUCAUUUUGUUCCCUCUAUUAUGGUUAUGAUAUUGGUAUGUAAUAUUUGAAAUUUGUUGAACUUUUUAGCUCUGGGACUUAGAUUUCGAAUCGCAUACUGAUGUUGACUCAUAUACUGUUAACCUUGCGCUCUAACAAAGGCUGGAGGUUCUGUUGGUUCGAAUGGAAGAUUACAAGGUCGUAUUGAAGUAUCAAGAGCUUUUGGUGAUCGCCAGUUUAAGAAGGUUUGCUGAUAUAAGCUUAUUUGGCUACAAGAGUCUGUUUAAUCUGUGUUUGGAAAGAAAUGUUGUUUGGUUAUUUUUCAGCAUUAAUGAUUAAUGGAGGUACUAGUUUAUACUGAAAACAAUGUAUUUUUUAGUGCCAAGUAUAGCACUGAUCAUUAAAAAAAAUUGCUGCUAACGAAAGACAAUUAUUGCAGCUAUGUGUCUUAGUGUGUUGACCUAUGUCAAUCAGUGAAGUGACCCAUGAGCUUUACUGUGCCUUUGCAAAAAUGAUGUGCAUAAAUAAGUUACUUCAUCAGCACUGUAGAAUGUGGAAACACAACAAAUCUUUGACAUUGACGAAAAUCUGUUGUAUUGUCACAAUUUAAUAUCUUUCCUGUAGUUGUGACAUGCACAACUCAUUCAUGUAUUAGUAGUACAAGAGGUCCACAUCUUGACUUAGCAAAAAAAGAAAAGGUUGUCCUUGUUGUACUGAAUGAUUUAUAUUUAUCGCACUCGUAAAAGGCCCAUACUGGACAGGAAAAUGCUGCCAUUCAUAUUUUUGUGCAUUUGUCAGUUUACACUUGAAAAUAAUAUAGGUGGGGUUGAUUGCAACACCAGACGUCCACUCCUUUGAACUUACAAAGAAAGAUCAUUUCAUCAUUCUAGGAUGCGAUGGCUUAUGGGGAGUAUUUGGACCAAGUGAUGCUGUUGAAUUUGUUCAGAAUCAGUUGAAGGAGACAUCUUCAGCCUCACUUGCAGUGCGCCGCCUCGUGAAGGAAGCUGUUCGUGAGAGGCGAUGCAAGGAUAACUGCACUGCUGUUUUGAUCGUCUUCAAACACUAGAGUCCUACUUAAUCCUCUUCCUGUAGACUGCACAAUUAGCUGACGAUGGACAAUGUUCGAACUGAAGCUAGUUGAACAAGGAACUCUUGUUUUAUUUGUUUUUAUUUGACCUAUUAAAACACUAUAUCCAUAUUCAUCUGGAAAUUGGAAAUCGGACUUGAAAAAUUCGAAUCUCCGCAGUAAUAUGGGUCUGGGGUUGAUUCCAUGCAAACCCUGGAUACCGGAAUUUCAGACCC